AUGCGGGUGUGUGUGGGGGGUUCAAUCCCAGGACCCCAGGCCAAAAGCAGCCGUUUAACAACUGAGCCACCCAGGCGCCCCUACUAUGACCAUUUUAAUGACGUCGUCUGUCUUCAGUAUCUGCUCACAGGAACCUCAGCCAGGAAGCAGCUCAUCUCACCACAGCUCUCCCACGUGAUCAACAGCCACCCUGACUCCCUGGCUAGAGCCAACAAGAACCUCGUUGUUGCCAAAUCCAAUAAAUACUCCAGUGUUCUCACCUUUCUUGGACUUGCAUCUGUAUUUGCUACUAGUGCCCGUUCCUUCCGCAAACAACUUGUGUUCCCCUCUCUUACCCCUCUUCUUGGCCAAUGGUGAUGUUCCAAGGUUCUCAUUUCAUUCUGUGUAAUCUCCCUGGACUACCUCAUCUACAUCCCCCCCCCCCCCUUCCCCCCCCCCCCUUGUGGCUCUGAUAUCAUCUUUAUCCAGAGAUUCUCAAUGUUAGUGAUCAGAAGGAGACCACUCAUCACCCUGAGUGCUGACUUGUCAGGUCAGGGGAGGGGGCUGCCUUCAGAUGACUCAGUACAGGGUGUUCUCAGUUCUCAGACCACAGACACAGAAACCUG
rnacentral:lncRNA from 1 species